UCCGUAGGCGGGCAAUUAAGUCAGAGGUGAAAUCCCACAGCUCAACUGUGGAACUGCCUUUGAUACUGGUUGUCUUGAGUUACAGUGAAGUAGAUAGAAUAUGUAGUGUAGCGGUGAAAUGCAUAGAUAUUACAUAGAAUACCGAUUGCGAAGGCAGUCUACUAACUGUAUACUGACGCUAAUGGACGAAAGCGUGGGGAGCGAACAGGAUUAGAUACCCUGGUAGUC
rnacentral:rRNA from 1 species